AUGUCUCAAACAUUUGUUUCUUCAGAAUGUUCUUCAAUACUACGUAAUAUUGAAUCAUACAAGAACAAAUGGCUGUUUGGGAGAAGGCCAUUCUCUUUGUAUUUUUCAGGUGCUCUUCUUUUUUAAUUUCAUGUUUGUUUGGAAGUUUCUUUGUGUUCAAUUGGUUUGUUUAACUGGAUUUUCAGUCUUCUGUUUUUGUUUGGUGUUUUAAUUUGUUGUUCUUAACUUCUUGUUGUAACAUGGCAGAAGCUCUGUUGGACAUUUUUUGCUUGGCGGUGUGUUUGUGUUCUAGAUUUGGGGUUUCCCUUUUGUACACCUAGUUUAUAUGCUUUAUAAGUUCUUCCCAAAUUUUUGUGAUUGCAGUUCUCCGCUAUGCAUCUCAUUUUGUUCUUCUUUAAAACUCUUCUUUACUUGUCAUUUGUUGAUAAUAACUAACUUAAACAGAGGGGAAAAAAUGCUGAGAACUAUUGAAAAGUGCCCAAGAAUGUGUUCAUUUCCUUUUUUCGUUGAUCGUUUUGUUGCUACCCUCUUGUUUUUUUAUUAGAUUAGUCUCAUGCUGCUACUGAGAAGAAAAAUGCUGAGAACUCUAGGCUGCAAUGCAACAUUUAUCGAUUUAAUCUUGGUUUACAUGCUUUCUGUUGUGUUGUGGGUUCUCUUAACAUUUGCUGUAUAUACUAAUUCGAUUAGUCUCUCUUGUUCUGGACAGUUGCGUUGCAGCCUGAUCUAAGCUGAGCCCUUUGUUUUCUCUCAAAUGAACUGUAUUUCGAAAGCUAGUGUUGCUUUUGUAGUCAAUUCCUGCUUAAGUCCUUAUCUUUGCUGCAUUGCAUGAACUUAUAACGCUGUUGCGUAGCACAGGCUGCAUUAGACAGUCCAUUUAAUUUCGUGUGUUGAUUUGCCGGUUGCUUGUGUUCCAGGCUGGUAUUUUCCCUUUUAUCUCUUCUUUUUCUUCUUAAAGAUUCUUCCAAACCUUACCAAUUGAGUUUGACUUUGCAGAAAAUGUUGAGAAUAACACCGAAGAAUUGAGGAGAAGAAGCCUUCAUUCUACAAGAUUGUUUUUUAUUGUUACAACACCGAAGAAUUGCGUAUCCCACCAAACGUCGGGAAACAUAUGCUGAACAAUCGGUGGUGUGUAUUUCAAGGAUGGCUGGCCGGAGUUCUUAAAAGAUAACUCUUUGGGUAACGGAGAGAAUUUGGUAUUCAGCUAUGAUGGAAGAAUGCAUUUCAGCAUAACGGGUUUUUAAGAAGAAUGCAUGUAAGCGAGUCAAUCAUACCAACAUUGGAUCAAAUCAAAAUCCCGCCUAUGCUAGCACUUCUAAAAGACCUCGUGGUAGACCAAGAAAGUACACUCCCGUGAGUUCUAAGCAUCCCCUCCGAUCAAGUUCUUCCAGCGAUAGGUGGUCAGAUGUCGUGAUAUACAUGUCUACUGGAUUUCAUGUAACUCAUUGCUCUGUUUUAUUUUGGAUGUGAAACUCUAGGUGAAAACCUUCCAAGUGCUGAGGGGAGUGAAUUCAAAAAGUUUACAGACGAGGAAGAAGAUUGCGGAGACAACGCAUUUGGGAAUUCAGAAGCUAGUUGCGAAGUAAUUUCAUCCAAGUCUUUAUCACUGCAUUCCUCCCAAUCAGUCCCCUUUCUUGUAAUGAAACUAACAUCAAAAUGCAACUAAGUGGAGUAUCUUAUAUUGGAUCACGUUGCUCGUGCAGUUCGCCCCCUUAGCCUUCUCUAGAGAAUAUUUUACUUAAGGCAUAUAUUUUAGGGUCACCCUGCAAAAUGCAGAGGGAAAGACAAGGACAGUGAAAGUUACUCCUUGCAACGAAUCACACUGCUUCACCGCAAGGUGGUGUAAAUUCGUAUAUGCUAACAAAAUCAAGACCAGCGAUACAUGUA